GGGCCCGCACAAGCGGUGGAGCAUGUGGUUUAAUUCGAUGCAACGCGAAGAACCUUACCAGGUCUUGACAUGUCACUUUUUUCUUGAAAAAGAAAGUUUCCCGAGUGAACACAGGUGGUGCAUGGCUGUCGUCAGCUCGUGUCUUGAGAUGUUGGGUUAAGUCCCGCAACGAGCGCAACCCUUAUUCUGUGUUGCUAUUUAUAGGAAACUCAGAAGACUGCCGGUGCAAACCGUGAGGAAGGUGGGGAUGACGUCAAAUCAUCACGGCCCUUACGUCCUGGGCCACACACGUGCUACAAUGGUAGGUACAGAGAGCAGCCACGUCGCAAGGCGGAGCGAAUCUAUAAAACCUAUCAC
rnacentral:rRNA from 1 species